GCAAGUGUGUUGGAAUUGGUAGACAAGUUCCUCUUAGGAUGGAGUGGCGUAAGCUGUAAGAGUUCAAGUCUCUUCACUUGUA
rnacentral:tRNA from 1 species